rnacentral:rRNA from 1 species
UACAGGGGGGGCAAGCGUUGUUCGGAAUUACUGGGCGUAAAGGGUUUGUAGGUGGCUUGUUAAGUCAGACGUGAAAUCCCUCAGCUUAACUGGGGAACUGCGUCUGAUACUGAUGAGCUUGAGUGCAGGAGAGGAACGCGGAAUUCCAGGUGUAGCGGUGAAAUGCGUAGAUAUCUGGAGGAACACCGGUGGCGAAGGCGGCGUUCUGGACUGCAACUGACACAGAGAAACGAAAGCCAGGGGAGCAAACGGG